UAUAUAUAAAGUAAAGGUAGAAUGGCUGU
rnacentral:piRNA from 1 species